rnacentral:rRNA from 1 species
UACAGAGGUCUCAAGCGUUGUUCGGAUUCAUUGGGCGUAAAGGGUGCGUAGGUGGCGCUGUAAGUCGGGUGUGAAAUUUCGGAGCUUAACUCCGAAACUGCAUUCGAUACUGCGGUGCUUGAGGACUGGAGAGGAGACUGGAAUUCAUGGUGUAGCAGUGAAAUGCGUAGAUAUCUGGAGGAACACCGGUGGCGAAGGCGGCAGCCUGGACCGGUAUUGACGCUGAGGCGCGAAAGCCAGGGGAGCAAACGGG